rnacentral:rRNA from 1 species
UACGUAGGGUGCAAGCGUUGUCCGGAAUUAUUGGGCGUAAAGAGCUCGUAGGCGGUUUGGUAAGUCGGGUGUGAAAUCUCCACGCUCAACGUGGAGGGGCCACUCGAUACUGCCAUGACUCGAGUCCGGUAGAGGAGUGUGGAAUUCCCGGUGUAGCGGUGAAAUGCGCAGAUAGUCGGGAGGAACACCCGUAGCGAAGGCGGCACUCUGGGCCGGAACUGACGCUGAGACGCGAAAGCGUGGGGAGCGGAACGAGG